rnacentral:sRNA from 1 species
UGCCUAGUCAGUUCUGCGUCCGCUGAGGCUCGGUCACCGCCUCGCUGUCGUCGCGGCGCCCCCGCCCCGUCCUCUGUCCGUACCGCCCCCGGAGCCAGGGCCGAGUCCUCGCCAUGCCGGCCCGGCGGCUGCUGCUGCUGCUGACGCUGCUGCUGCCCGGCCUCGGGAUUUUUGGAAGUACCAGCACAGUGACGCUUCCUGAAACCUUGUUGUUUGUGUCAACGCUGGAUGGAAGUUUGCAUGCUGUCAGCAAGAGGACAGGCUCAAUCAAAUGGACUUUAAAAGAAGAUCCAGUCCUGCAGGUCCCAACACAUGUGGAAGAGCCUGCCUUUCUCCCAGAUCCUAAUGAUGGCAGCCUGUAUACGCUUGGAAGCAAGAACAAUGAAGGCCUGAUGAAACUUCCUUUUACCAUCCCAGAAUUGGUGCAGGCAUCCCCGUGCCGAAGUUCAGAUGGAAUCCUCUACAUGGGUAAGAGUUCCUGUCUCCAGAAACUUGUGUCUCUUUGGUGUAAGUCCCGGAAUCUGGGAAAGUGGCAUGCGGAGAGAGAGGGCGCAGUCACCGCCUUG